UACGGGAGGCAGCAGUAGGGAAUCUUCCGCAAUGGACGAAAGUCUGACGGAGCAACGCCGCGUGAACGAUGAAGGCUUUCGGGUCGUAAAGUUCUGUUGUUAGGGAAGAACAAGUACCAGAGUAACUGCUGGUACCUUGACGGUACCUAACCAGAAAGCCACGGCUAACUACGUGCCAGCAGCCGCGGUAAUACGUAGGUGGCAAGCGUUGUCCGGAAUUAUUGGGCGUAAAGCGCGCGCAGGUGGUCCUUUUAAGUCUGAUGUGAAAGCCCACGGCUCAACCGUGGAGGGUCAUUGGAAACUGGGGGACUUGAGUGCAGAAGAGGAAAGUGGAAUUCCACGUGUAGCGGUGAAAUGCGUAGAGAUGUGGAGGAACACCAGUGGCGAAGGCGACUUUUCUGGUCUGUAACUGACACUGAGCGCGAAAGCGUGGGGAGCGAACAGGGAUUAGAUACCCGU
rnacentral:rRNA from 1 species